CCCUCCGUGGCGAAUUGGCGUAAAUUGGCAACUAACGCAAUUUUAGAUCGAUAAAUGCUCUUCUCUAUGCCUUCGGAGCCGGUGGUCCCGGGUUCAAAUCCCGGCGGGU
rnacentral:tRNA from 1 species